CUCCCAUCAGCCCCAGACAACAUGGCCAAUGGUGAAAGAAGACAGGAGCUGUAUAGACCAGCAAUAUCUGGAAGUUCAGAUUGCUCAUCUCAUUAUAACAGUUAGCAUUUAGUAUUAAUAUUUAGUUAGUAAUGCUCUCUGCUAUUCAAUUCAGUUUGUCACUGACAGGACGUCCCAGGGCAUUUGGAUCCGAGGCAAAAGACAAAAUGGCGCCACACUUUCAUUCCAAACACACAAGUGGACUAGACUGGAAGUUCACUCUUACUCCAGUGCUGAUGAUGGGAUUGUGUCUUCCACCAUGCUUAAGGGCAACAGGCCACUUUAAGGAGCACAAAACUGGCUGCAUGGCAAACACAAAUUUGUCUUCCAGUUUGUGGUGGUGGUGGGGAGAUGUGUGCAGAAGAAAUGGCAGUGCAAUACUGUUGCCUCUCUGCUCCCCCACCUGCCAACUGAGAUGGCCAACUUGUUCUGUGUUUUUAUUUAUUUAAAAUUGUCUAGUCCACCUUUUGAGGAAAAAUUCCUCCACAAAGCGGCUUAUAGGGAUGAUAAAACACCCCCCCCCAUGUGUGUUGCUGUGUAAUGGUGGAGCCAGGCCAGAUCUCUGGACUCUUGUAGGCAGCCAGCAGUUUGUUUGCGUGUUCGUUUAGUUCUGACCCCAUCCUUGCCCUCCAGUUUUCCAAAUAGAAGUCUAAUAAAAUCUGUUUCUGCUGCUGAAUAGUUACUGGGGAAUUUAAUGUGUGCUAUAAUUUGUCAAGAAAUUAGUUUUGACAGAGAAGUUCAUUGGCAGUUCAGCUCCCAGCCAUUUUAGAGGGCAAAAUUUUCAUGGUUAUGGCUGCAAGAACUGUAUUCUGGUUUUGUAGUGCCUUAUUUUUGCAGCUGUGGUAUAUAUUUACUUUACCGUUAGAGCUUAACCAUUACAUAAAUACAGUAAAAUAGUCUAGGGAGCUAAAGAUGUGCUGUUUAUGUCCAUCUUUCUUGGCUUCUCUAAAUUGUGGGCUCGUAUUUUUAUAUUUCCCGUAACUGAUUCUUUCCUGGAAACAGCUGGUAAUGAGCCGAAAGCUCACCAGAAGAAUGACCAAAAAAAAAAAGAGAGGAAAAAAUGAUCUGGGAAACAUGGCAAACAGAAAGCAGUUUUUCUAAGAAAUAUUAGAAUAUAAAUUAAACCCAGAUAAAAUUAAUUGGUGAUUUUUUUUAAAUAAAGUAAAUUAAGGAUAAGAAACUGUUAAGUUUGGGUCUAUAUUCAGACCUUUUGGAUCUGUUUGGCCGAAGUUAUUUGGGACUGUGGUUUUGAGGGAUACAUUGACCUCUGUAAAUAAAGACAGAAAGCCCCCAGAGAAAAAAUAAUCAUAGAACUAUACAUAGGGUUGUGGCUAAUUAAGUUACAACCCAUAAUGUGCCAUUGUUGCUCCAACCAAAGCUACACUGAGGGCAUGUCAAAAAGUGCUGCUUGAGGUUAGACAAUAGAAACAUGGAAGGAUAAAGUGACCAUGUUUCUGAAGCCUAUGAUGCAAAACACCAGAUAUUUUGUCUUCUGAUUGGGUCAGGGAGCACUUCCUGUUAUUACCAAGCAGUAAACUGACUAAUCAUGUUUCCUGAAAGAAGCAUAGUAUGUCACAACUGACCCCACCACUGUCUCAAUUUUAACCUGAGAGAAAAUAAACGUUUAUUUUCUUGUUGGAACAUAAGCAUAGCCUUUUGCUUGAUGAGACCAAAGAUCAUCUGGUACUGCAACCUGUUCCUCUCAGUGACCACUUUUAUGCCUCCAGGAAGGCCACAGGCCAGCAUGAACAGCCCUCCUCUGCUGUCUCUCUCCCACCCAGCAACUUUUACCCAAGGGUAUAUUACUUUUUGGCAGUGCAUGCCAUAAAUUGGUAAAUUAAACAAACCUAUUCCAAAUCUAGGGACGCAGGCGGCGCUGUGGGUUAAACCACAGAGCCUAGGGCAUGCCAAUCAGAAGGUCGCGGUUCGAAUCCCCGUGACGGGGUGAGCUCCCGUUGCUCGGUCCCUGCUCCUGCCAACCUAGCAGUUCGAAAGCACCUCAAAGUGCAAGUAGAUAAAUAGGUACCGCUCCAGCGGAAAGGUAAACGGCAUUUCUGUGCGUUGCUCUGGUUCGCCAGAAGCAGCUUAGUCAUGCUGGCCACAUGACCCGGAAGCUGUACGCCAGCUCCCUCGGCCAAUAAAGCGAGAUGAAUGCCGCAACCCCAGAGUCGGCCACAACUGGACCUAAUGGUCAGGGGUCCCUUGACCUUUUUAUUCCAAAUCUACUGCUAAGUAAUUGUGCUUGAUGGCCCCAAGUUCUAGUAUUAUGUGAAAGGGAGAGGAGAAAUUGUGUCCCUUUCUUCAUCUCAUGCAUAAUUUUAUAGGCCUCUGUCAUUCAUGUCUCUGCAGAAAGCAAGCUUGCUCCAUCUUCCAUGGGUCAGCCUUUCAGAUAUUUGAAGAUGGCUAUCCUAUCACUUCUCGGUCUUCUCAAACAUACCUAACUCCCAUGACCGUUCCUCAUAAGGCUUGGAUUCUAAAAUGUAGCUGAUGGUAACAUUCUUUAGUAACUCACUGUUGGAGGGAGACCUUUUGGUUCCAUUGUGUGCUGGUGGUUCAGCUGAUUCCAGAACCUAUGUGCAAAUUCCACUUAUUUACAGCCAGAGCAAGAGAAACAAAUCAGGUGUUGUAGGCAAUGUGAAUAAUUCACCAGUGUUUGUGUGUCAGCUGUAAAAUUUCACUUUGGUAGAUCACAAGACUGCACAUGUGGCAGAAAUAUUUGUCACGAUCGCAGCCUUAAAUAAUCGAGAAAAUAUUCUGCAAUGAAACUGUUAUGCUUGCCAAAUAAAAUUCUGUAGUGUUUUAUCUCCCUUGGCAUCACAGGAGAAAAACGUAAAGUGGCAAAGAUGUAUGGAUCUCUCACUAAGACCUACACCUACUUAGUCCAAUAGAUUAAACACUGCAUCACAAUACUUUAGCAGAAGCAGAGGUUUAAUAACAAUUGUUUUUCAUUUUGAUUGGAUUAUAGCGAUUUUAGUGAAUUCAGUUAAAAUGCGCACUUUAUUUUGCACAGGCACCUAUAUUUCUUUCUGGUGGUAUUCUGCAUGUUCAACACCUUUCCUGUACUGCAACUGGCUGCUGAGCACCCUGUUUGAAGCAAGUGGACCAAAUGAAACGAGACCUAAAUACUUCUCCUCCUACACCCUUCCUUGAAACUUUCCAUCCUCUUCUGCUUGCGCAGGUAUUAUGCUGAUACUUCCUUAUGCUGCUUUUAGCACACAGAUCUUGUCCACACCAGAGUGAACCAUGUAUUUGCAGCUGCUUGCAUACCCAUUUGAUCUGCAAAAUCCACACAAUGUUACCCUCAAACAACACAGGUUCCAAUGCUUCCCCCCUGUAAUUUCGGGUUUACUCGAUAAUGGGGAUAAUCCAAUUGACUGGGAAAAAUCAGGCUGCAAACCACUCCCCUUGGGGUCACAGUCAGUUUGCUUUAGUGCUUCAGAGUGGGUGGCUCAGCCUUCACAUUCUGCUGCUCCACUUUCUAUGCCCAUUACUUCCUCGUUGCUUUCAUUUCUUUCCCAGCUAACAUGCCCGUCUCUCUCUCUGUCUUCUUUGAUCCCUCAGAUUACCACAAAACCAGAAAAUUAUGCAGGCGUUAAAAUUUUCUACACCAGAUAUUGCACUGCAAUCUGAAAAGUGUG